UUUACAUGUGUUAGCCACCCAUCC
rnacentral:siRNA from 1 species